rnacentral:rRNA from 1 species
CAGCCGCCGCGGUAAUACGUAGGGCGCAAGCGUUAUCCGGAAUUAUUGGGCGUAAAGAGCUCGUAGGCGGUUUGUCGCGUCUGCCGUGAAAGUCCGGGGCUCAACCCCGGAUCUGCGGUGGGUACGGGCAGACUAGAGUGAUGUAGGGGAGACUGGAAUUCCUGGUGUAGCGGUGAAAUGCGCAGAUAUCAGGAGGAACACCGAUGGCGAAGGCAGGUCUCUGGGCAUUAACUGACGCUGAGGAGCGAAAGCAUGGGGAGCGAACAGGAUUAGAUACCCCGUAGUCCCUGUCUCUUAUACC